rnacentral:tRNA from 1 species
UCUCUGAUAGUAUAUCGGUUAGUACACGCGCCUGUCAUCAGAACGCGCGAAAGCUGGGUUCGACUCCCAGUCAGAGAG